rnacentral:rRNA from 1 species
GACGAACGCUGGCGGCGUGCCUAAUACAUGCAAGUCGAACGCACAGUUUAUACCGUAGCUUGCUACACCAUAGACUGUGAGUUGCGAACGGGUGAGUAACGCGUAGGUAACCUGCCUGGUAGCGGGGGAUAACUAUUGGAAACGAUAGCUAAUACCGCAUAAUAUUGAUUAUUGCAUGAUAAUUGAUUGAAAGAUGCUAUUGCAUCACUACAAGAUGGACCUGCGUUGUAUUAGCUAGUAGGUGAGGUAACGGCUCACCUAGGCGACGAUACAUAGCCGACCUGAGAGGGUGAUCGGCCACACUGGGACUGAGACACGGCCCAGACUCCUACGGGAGGCAGCAGUAGGGAAUCUUCGGCAAUGGACGAAAGUCUGACCGAGCAACGCCGCGUGAGUGAAGAAGGUUUUCGGAUCGUAAAGCUCUGUUGUAAGAGAAGAACGGGUGGGAGAGUGGAAAGUUCACACUGUGACGGUAUCUUACCAGAAAGGGACGGCUAACUACGUG